rnacentral:tRNA from 8 species
GCAUCCGUAGCUCAGCUGGAUAGAGUAUUCGGCUACGAACCGAGCGGUCGGAGGUUCGAAUCCUCCCGGAUGCACCA